CAAAGGCUUGGUCCUGACUUUUCUAUCAAUUCUAACUAGACUUACACAUGCAAGUAUCCGCACCCCAGUGAAGAUGCCCACAGUUCCCCGCCCGGGAACAAGGAGCUGGUAUCAGGCACACCCUAGGUAGCCCAUGACACCUUGCUUUAGCCACACCCCCACGGGGAAUUCCAGCAGUGAUAGACAUUAAGCCAUAAGCGAAAGCUUGACUUAGUUAAAGUUAAAUCAGGGCCGGUAAAUCUCGUGCCAGCCACCGCGGUUAAACGGGAGGCUCAAGUUGAUAGACACCGGCGUAAAGCGUGGUUAAGGACCCAACUUUUACACUAAAGCCGAACGCUACCAGAGCAGUGAUACGCACCGAGAGUAAGAAGAUCAAUUACGAAAGUAGCUUUAUUUAAACCUGACCCCACGAAAGCUAAGGCACAAACUGGGAUUAGAUACCCCACUAUGCUUAGCCUUAAACAUAGACAGUUGCUUAUUCCCACUGUCCGCCAGGGUACUACGAGCAUUAGCUUGAAACCCAAAGGACUUGGCGGUGCUUUAGACCCAC
rnacentral:rRNA from 1 species